GUUUCAAGAAUCUGUUACAACAGUUUUUCCACUGAAACAUCUAUCCUGGCAGAAACCUGACUUCAGAUACCAUUAUUUGUACAAUUUCCUAAGAAUACACACUGCUGGAAGGACUUCCCCACUUGUUUAAGGUCACUGACUCUGCAGUGCAUCUCCCUGCCAGUACCAGGUGCAUGUGUAACACAGAGAGAGAAAUUCUCAGGAACAGGAGCUUUGAAAUCAGUCCUACCAGGAAAUUAGGACAAAGGGAGAUUCUUCACCUUUAUUUUUCAGAGAGAAGAAAGAAGUUGCAAAGCAGGAAGAGAAAAGGAGUGGUCAGGUCCAGUGGGAGCUGGAGAAGUUCUCCAAUGGUGUGAUCCUCAAACACACCUUGGUGGAGCCUUUACGGACAGCUGCUCUCAGGGAUGGGGUUGAACAUCAAUGGAAUCCAGUGGAAGCUGUUCCCAGGGGGUAAAAGGAUCCCUGCUCCCAAGCUGGAGUGCUCCCUGGCCUGGAGGAGCUCCUCUUGUGCAGGCAGCUCCUGCCCUGCCUCUGCCUGUCUCUGCUUUCCAUCAGAGAUUCCUCACGUGCCGCAGCUGAACUGCCCGGCUUCCCUUGGCCCCACCUUGGCACAAUCUUCUGAGGGAGCUGCUGGUGUCCCCAGGGCUCUGGGCACCUGUCCCAGCCUGGAGAGCACUCACAGGUGGACACCAGGAGCUCUCUGGAAGGACCACCCAGAAAUGAGCCCAGGGCCACUGCAGGGGACCCUCCAUCCUCCCUUCCUGCUCCAGCCCAAAGAGUGCAGAGGUCCACAGACACCUCCCAAGGGACUGAGCUGCUCUCCCUCAGCCGUGGGAGACUCUUCAAGGUUCUCUUUAAGCAGCUGCUUUCCUAUCUGUCUCCUACAUACUCUGGAUUAG
rnacentral:lncRNA from 1 species